rnacentral:tRNA from 1 species
GCCCAGUUAGCUCAGUUGGUAGAGCACUUCCAUGGUAAGGAAGGGGUCAUCGGUUCGAGUCCGAUACUGGGCU